UACGUAGGGACCAAGCGUUGUUCGGAUUUACUGGGCGUAAAGGGCGCGUAGGCGGCAAAUUAAGUCAGCUGUGAAAUCUCCGGGCUUAACUCGGAACGGCCAAGUGAAACUGUCAAGCUAGAGUGCAGAAGGGGCAAUCGGAAUUCUUGGUGUAGCGGUGAAAUGCGUAGAUAUCAAGAGGAACACCUGAGGUGAAGACGGGUUGCUGGGCUGACACUGACGCUGAGGCGCGAAAGCCAGGGGAGCAAACGGG
rnacentral:rRNA from 1 species